rnacentral:rRNA from 1 species
GGACGCUUACCACUUUGUGGUUCAUGACUGGGGUGAAGUCGUAACAAGGUAGCGCUAGGGGAACCUGGCGCUGGAUCACCUCCUUAUACGAUGAU